rnacentral:lncRNA from 1 species
GCAAAAUGUAUGUCAGUUUGUACCUUGCUUUAAAAAUUAUACCAACUGUUGAUCUCUUGCGCUUUUCCAGAAGCUGAGAACUGAGGAAUUGUUGCUGUCCGGGCCCUUCUAUCUCCCCUAGCUGCAUUUCCUAUAGCAGGAGCUGAGGAAGGAACAGCUGUGACUGUCCCAUUCCAGAAAAGGAUUCCCUCUCACAGGAGAAAUCUCUUGCUGGUUGAAUUCGCUAAGUUUUAAGCCUGCUUAAUGCUGACUGUCAGACAUAAGGCAGAUGCAACAGCUUCAGAACUAGAUUAACACAUGCUAGACCAGAGGUUUCCAAAGACUUUCCCUGUGACAGCACGUGUGGCUACAGAAAGUUCACAGUGGACAGAGUCCUGACAUCUGCACUAGUAGCUACUUUGAACUGCACUGGCCUUGCAUGAAGUUUCUGAUGGCUUCAUUUGAGAGAUGCUGUGCCAGGCCCAGUCAAAUUGAAGAUCUUCAGGACUGUACAGAAAUCAGUGGCUGGAUCUUCAGAASAGCUCACCAAGUUUUGAAAAUUGGACCAUGUAU